UGGCCCGUGGUGUAACCGGCAACACGCCUGGCUCUGGACCAGGAGACUCCAGGUUCGAACCCUGGCGGGCCAA
rnacentral:tRNA from 1 species